AGACAAGAGAUAAUUUGGGAAUAUUGGGGGGCCAGGCAGCUUUACAAAAGCAAUGAUGUGUGUUAGCUACGGAGAUACCUGUGUAGAGCUGCCGGUCGGCUGGACUGUCCUCCUGUGCACAUCAAAGGAAAGCAAAUUCCUCUGUACCUGGGAACCAGGACAGCACAAUUAUCCCAAGACCUG